UACGGAGGGUGCAAGCAUUGAUCGGAAUUACUGGGCGUAAAGGGCGCGUAGGCGGUCAGAUAAGUCAGAUGUGAAAUUCCGGGGCUCAACCCCGGAGCUGCAUUUGAAACUAUAUGACUAGAGGACAGUUAGGGUAAACGGAAUUCCACGUGUAGCGGUGAAAUGCGUAGAUAUGUGGAAGAACACCGGUGGUGAAGACGGUUUACUGGGCUGUAACUGACGCUGAGGCGCGAAAGCUAGGGGAGCAAACAGG
rnacentral:rRNA from 1 species